rnacentral:rRNA from 1 species
AGAGUUUGAUCCUGGCUCAGGAUGAACGCUGGCGGCGUGCCUAACACAUGCAAGUCGAGCGAUGAAACCGCCCUCGGGCGGACAUGAAGCGGCGAACGGGUGAGUAACACGUGACCGACCUGCCCCCCGCCCAGGGACAGCCCCCCGAAAGGGGGAUUAAUACCUGGUACUCCGGCAAGGACGCAUGUCCUGGCCGGGAAAGCCUUGGCGGCGGAGGAUGGGGUCGCGGCCCAUCAGGUAGACGGCGGGGCAGAGGCCCACCGUGCCGACGACGGGUAGCCGGGUUGAGAGACCGACCGGCCACAUUGGGACUGAGAUACGGCCCAGACUCCUACGGGAGGCAGCAGUGGGGAAUUUUGCGCAAUGGGGGCAACCCUGACGCAGCAACGCCGCGUGCGGGACGAAGGCGUCCGCGUCGUAAACCGCUUUCAGCGGGGAACACUUCAACGAGGGUACCCGCAGAAGAAGCCCCGGCUAAAUACGUGCCAGCAGCCGCGGUAAUACGUAUGGGGCGAGCGUUAUCCGGAUUCAUUGGGCGUAAAGCGCGCGUAGGCGGAGCGCUAAGCGGGACCUCUAACCCGAGGGCUCAACCCCCGGCCGGGUCCCGAACUGGCGCUCUCGAGUGCGGUAGGGGAGAGCGGAAUUCCCGGUGUAGCGGUGGAAUGCGCAGAUAUCGGGAGGAACACCGACGGCGAAGGCAGCUCUCUGGGCCGAAACUGACGCUGAGGCGCGAAAGCUGGGGGAGCGAACAGGAUUAGAUACCCUGGUAGUCCCAGCCGUAAACGAUGGGCGCUAGGUGUGGGGGAGACUAUCCUCCGCGCCGCAGCCAACGCGUUAAGCGCCCCGCCUGGGGAGUACGGCCGCAAGGCUAAAACUCAAAGGAAUUGACGGAAGG